rnacentral:rRNA from 1 species
UCCAGCUGAUCCUGCUGGCGGAUACUGCUCUCGAUAUCCGAUUUAGCCAUGCAAGUCGAAAAGGUACACCUGUGUGCCUUUGGCGAACGGCUCAGUAACGCGUGGUCAAUCUACCUUUCGGAAGAGUUAAUCCCGGGAAACUGGGGAUAAUGCUCUAUAGGUAAUUGGUACUGGAAGGUCCUUUUACUCAAAUGAAAAGCAGCUUGGUGUCUAUCGCCGAAAGAUGAGACUACGUCGGAUUAGGUUGUUGGCGGGGUAACUGCCCACCAAGCCUAAGUUCCGUACGGGCCUUGAAAGAGGUAGCCCGGAGAAGGGAACUGAGAUAAGGUCCCUAGCCCUACGGGGUGCAGCAGGCGCGGAACCUUUACAAUGCGCGCAAGCGUGAUAGGGGGAUGUCGAGUGCUACUUGUAGCUUUUGCAGAGUGUAGAUAGCUCUGCGAAUAAAGGGAGGGUAAGAUGCGUGCCAGCCGCCGCGGUAAUACGUACUCCCUAAGUGGUAUCCACUAAUAUUGGGCCUAAAGCGUUCGUAGCCGGUUCAGUAAGUCUCUGGUGAAAUCUGACAGCUUAACUGUUAGAAUUGCUGGAGAUACUGCUAGACUCGAGGCCGGGAGACGUGAAGGGAAUUUCUGAGGUAGGAGUGAAACCCUGUGAUCUCAGAAGGACCACCAGUAGCGAAGGCGCUUCACGAGAACGGACCUGACGGUGAGGAACGAAGGCUGGGGGAGCAACCCGGAUUAGAUACCCGGUUAGUCCCAGCAGUAAACGAUGUGAACUAGGUGUCCUAGCACCUAUAUGGUGUGGGGGUGCCGAAGGGAAGCCGUUAAGUUCACCGCCUGGGAAGUACAGUCGCAAGGCUGAAACUUAAUGGAAUUGGCGGGGGCGCACUACAAGGGGUGGAGGCUGCGGUUUAAUUGGAUAUAACGCCAGACAUCUCACCAGGAGCGACAGCAGAAUGAUGGACAGCCUGAAGGGCUUUCUUGACGCGCUGAGAGGUGUUGUAUGGUCAUCGUCAGCUCGUACUACGAAGCGUCCUGUCAACUCAGGCAACGGGCGAGACCCACAUCCUUAGUUGCUAUUUUUCUCUCCGGAGGAGGAGCACUCUAGGGAAACUGCAAGGGCAACCUUGAGGAAGGAGUGGGCAACGGUAGAUCUGUAUGGCCCGAAUCUCCUGGGCUACACGCGGCCUACAAUGGCUAAGACAAUGGGUCCCUACUCCGAAAGGAUCAGGUAAUCUCUUAAACUUAGUCUUGGUUCGGAUCGAGGGUUGGAACUCACCCUCGUGAACGAUUGGAAUCCCCAGUAAUCGCGUGUCACUAUCGCGCGGUGAAUAAGUCCCUGCGCCUUGCACACACCGCCCAUCAAGCCAGCUGAAUGAGGUGUGGAUGAGCCUUAUCCAUUAGGGUAAGUCGAUUCUAUGUCUUGUAAGGCGGGCUAAGUUGUAACAAGGUG